rnacentral:tRNA from 1 species
GCUGUAGUAGUCAAACGGCUAAGACAUUUCAUUCAAGCUGAAACAUAGUCGGUUCGACUCCGGCCUACAGUA